rnacentral:rRNA from 1 species
AUUGAACGCUGGCGGCAGGCUUAACACAUGCAAGUCGAACGAGCGGCGGACGGGUGAGUAAUGUCUGGGAAUCUAGCUUAUGGAGGGGGAUAACUACGGGAAACUGUAGCUAAUACCGCGUACCAUCGGAUGUGCCCAAGUGGGAUUAGCUAGUUGGUGAGGUAAAGGCUCACCAAGCCGACGAUCUCUAGCUGGUCUGAGAGGAUGACCAGCCACACUGGAACUGAGACACGGCCCAGACUCCUACGGGAGGCAGCAGUGGGGAAUAUUGCGCAAUGGGGGCAACCUGAUGCAGCCAUGCCGCGUGAAUGAAGAAGGCCUUCGGGUUGUAAAGUACUUUCGGUGGCGAGGCGUUACCGACAGAAGAAGCACCGGCUAACUCCGUGCCAGCAGCCGCGGUAAUUC